rnacentral:rRNA from 1 species
GAUGAACGCUGGCGGCGUGCCUAAUACAUGCAAGUCGAGCGAACAGAUGAGAAGCUUGCUUCUCUGAUGUUAGCGGCGGACGGGUGAGUAACACGUGGGUAACCUACCUAUAAGACUGGGAUAACUCCGGGAAACCGGGGCUAAUACCGGAUAAUAUUUUGAACCGCAUGGUUCAAUAGUGAAAGACGGUUUCGGCUGUCACUUAUAGAUGGACCCGCGCCGUAUUAGCUAGUUGGUAAGGUAACGGCUUACCAAGGCGACGAUACGUAGCCGACCGGAGAUGGUGAUCGGCCACGCUGGAACUGAGCCACGGUCCAGACUCCUACGGGAUGCAGCAGUAGGGAAUCUUCCGCAAUGGGCGAAAGCCGGACGGAGCAACGCCGCGUGAGUGAUGAAGGUCUUCGGAUCGUAAAACUCUGUUGUUAGGGAAGAACAAGUUUGUUAGUAACUGAACAAGUCUUGACGGUACCUAACCAGAGAGCCACGGCUAACUACGUGCCAGCCGCCGCAGUAA